UGAAGUUUGACAGAUUUGUGAAACCAAUAUGCUUACCUUCUGGAGAGAUUGAUGUUGCCGACAAAACACUUGUUGUGGCUGGAUGGGGGAGGCCAAAUAAACAUAUCAGAUUCAGUCCUUUCCUUCUCCUCACGCAAAUGGUUGGCAUGCCAGCCGAUGAAUGUAAAAGCUUCAUAAGCAAAACUCGAAGAAAGGGGAUAGGCGUACGUGGCGGUCCAAUGAUGUGUGCGAAGAUGCUAGAUGGAACGUCGUGUAAGGGAGAUUCCGGCGGCCCAUUGACACUUCCCGACAUCAAUGGAAAAUCUGUACAAGUGGGAUUGGUAUCCAUGGGUGUCAGAUGUCCGUCAGAAGGGGAGAUACCUUAUCCAGCAAUAUACACCGAAGUAUCAGGUUACCGGUCUUGGAUCCGUAAGGCACUGAAGCACCCGCGACGGUGGUACAAGCUGGACGUCGGUCCACGCGCGAACAUUUAUGACGCCAAUAAAUAAAUAUAGCUACAGUGCGUUAAGGCAGAGCCUUAAUGUACAAAAUGAUUCGUAUGAGGUAAACGAGCAUUGCGGCUAGGACGGCGUGUUUGCUGUCCGGCGAGCUCAAAGAUGAUUUCGGCUUGCAGCUGGC
rnacentral:lncRNA from 1 species